rnacentral:rRNA from 1 species
AUGGCUCUCCUCCGGCGGCCACCACUCGCUCGCACCGCCGCCGCCGCAUCCCUCCCCCACCACCGCCUCCGCCUCGCCACCCCGCACACACACCUCACCAGACCCCCUCCCUCCACUCCCCGCCUCCGCAUCAGCGCGGCCCCCUCGCUCCGCCCCCUCCGCGGCAUUCUGUCGAGCAGGUGCCAUGCGGCGGCGAGAGAUCCGGCGUCGGCGCCCUCUCAGGUACCCGGCGGCGCGCGGGCCGCGCUGGUGCGCGUCGGGGAGGCGCUGUCGCUCGGGUUCCCGCUGUGGGUCGCGUCGGCCUGCGCGCUCGCGCUGUGGCGGCCGGCGAGCUUCCUCUGGGUCACCCCCACCGCCCAGAUGGUCGGCCUGUCCUUCACCAUGCUCGGAAUGGGAAUGACAUUGACGCUUGAUGACCUGAGAACCGCGCUGCUGAUGCCCAAGGAGUUGGCUGCUGGGUUUCUACUUCAAUACACUGUGAUGCCACUGUCCGGAUAUCUCAUCAGCAAGUUAUUGAACCUGCCAUCCCAUUAUGCUGCUGGACUGAUUUUGGUUUCCUGUUGCCCUGGAGGCACAGCGAGCAACAUUGUUACCUACUUAGCAAGGGCAAAUGUUGCUCUUUCAGUGCUGAUGACAGCAGCAAGCACUUUUGCUGCAGCGUUCAUGACUCCUCUCUUGACAUCAAAACUGGCCGGGCAAUACGUCGCAGUAGACCCUAUGGGACUGUUUGUGUCGACAUCUCAGGUUGUCCUAGCGCCCGUUCUCUUGGGUGCUCUGCUUAAUCAGUACAUGGGCCGUUUGGUUGAGCUGGUUUCUCCCUUGAUGCCGUUCAUUGCUGUGGCAACAGUGGCUGUUCUAUGCGGCAACGCGAUUGCACAGAAUGCUUCGGCCAUCCUAGCAUCUGGCCUACAAGUGGUGCUAUCGGUUAUCUGCCUGCAUGGAUGUGGCUUCUUCUUUGGCUAUGUGCUUUCAAGGAUGCUCGGCAUCGAUAUCGCUUCAUCACGAACAAUCUCGAUCGAGGUUGGCAUGCAGAACUCGGUGCUGGGUGUGGUUCUCGCGGGCAAGCACUUUGGCAGCCCUCUCGCGGCGGUUCCGUGCGCGGUUUCGAGCAUCUGCCACUCGGUCUAUGGUAGCCUCAUGGCCGGGGUGUGGAGGUCCAUGCCCCCGAAUGACAAGCAGGGGGCAUGA